UCCUGGCUCAGAACGAACGCUGGCGGCGCGUCUUAAACAUGCAAGUCGAACGAUCUGUAGCAAUACAGGGAGUGGCGGACGGGUGAGGAACACGUAGGAAUCUACCUUGAAGAGCAGGACAACUUUGGGAAACCGGGGCUAAUACCGCAUAGUACAGAGAUGUUAAAGGGCUAGCAAUAGUCGCUUCGAGAUGAGCCUGCGGUCUAUCAGCUUGUUGGUGAGGUAAUGGCUCACCAAGGCUACGACGGAUAGCCGGUCUGAGAGGAUGAUCGGCCACACUGGCACUGAGACACGGGCCAGACUCCUACGGGAGGCAGCAGUUAAGAAUCUUGCGCAAUGGGGGAAACCCUGACGCAGCGACGCCGCGUGAAGGAUGAAGGCUUUCGGGUUGUAAACUUCGGUAGACUGGGAAGAAGAAAUACGUUCGUUGAGGGCGUAUAGUGACGGUACCAGUCUGAAGCCCCGGCUAAUUACGUG
rnacentral:rRNA from 1 species